rnacentral:lncRNA from 1 species
CUCAACUGGUUUUGCCAUUAGCAAGUAACUUUUUGAGCUGUUGACAUGAUAAGAAUAGAAAACAGACAAUGAAGCAGAAUUAUUAAACACCUAUGGGUGAUACACCAGAUUUCAUCUCUUGUUUUGGGACAUAGUUGAAUUCCACUUGGAAUAAAGAAUUCUCAGGAGUAACAUCAUGGAGUCUUGUAAAUCCACUAAAAUAUCAACCAUGGUAGAGGUUAAAAUGGAUUUUUCCUAAUUUAUGGCACAUAUUAACAUCUUUUUAAAGGUUCACUUUGCCCUGUUAAGAGUUACAAUGGAAAAUAAAAGAAUUACUUAUUUAAUCCGAAUCCUCUCUUGGCAUUGUAGCUGCUUUUUCUGUCUGUCAGAACAUGACAGAAGGAAUCAGCUUGUGCCUGUUGACUGGGAAAAUUAGAUCAGUGCACUUCUAGGUGUUCUAAGUUGUCAGCUUUUGUGGAAGGUGGGAUGCUCCCAGUCCAGUAAGGUGACAAGACCAGUGUUACAACCCUCAAUCCAUCCCCCAAGUGUCUGUGGUGAGCUUAGAGUGGCUGCAGACCCUGGAAUGCAAUGCAGGUACACAAGAUGGUGCACAAGAAAUUGAAACUAUUCUCUGCUGGAUGGGCCUUGCUGCUGUAUGAAGGAAUGCAAAACAGCCAUGCCUCAAGCAGUAUCAAUGCCAUCUGGGACACCUGCUCACAUCCAUGCUUGCUUCAAGGCCUUCCAGUGAGCCCCUGAGCUGGACCAACCUCAUCUGGACUGGUCUGUUCAUCCUGGUUGAAGAAACCUGGCAAGGAUAUCACUUUACUUCUUCAGCCUGGAAAUCAGAACAUCUCCAAAGAGAGUGGGACAAAAUGAAAGAAAGAAAAAAACAUUUUGAAUUUCCUGGGAUGGAGUUAUUUGAGACUUAAAAGGUGUUGAGAAGUUUUGCUGUUCAUUGUUCUAAUAAGGUGCAUGUCAUUGAUGUCAACCUAAUGUGCUGAGGAAAUGUCACACAUGUCUGCAAUUGGCUACUUCUGGCUGGCCAAGCACAGCUGGAAGCCUGGAAAACAGAUGUUACUUUCAAUCAAGCAAGGGUCAGAGCAGGCUUGGGACUUGGAAUGUCUAUAUAUUUCCAUCCAAAAAUGAUCCUUGGGUAGUUUCAGUGGACCAGUAAUUAUUUUAGCAGCUUUUCUGUUUUUGUUGUUGGUUUUUUUUAAUCUUCAGUAUUAUGCCUGUAGAACAGAGGAACAAAAACCAGUGGGCAUGCAUCCAGGGAGCUUGGGACAAUGAUGGAGAGGAGUCCAACACAAGAACAUCAUUGCUGUGUUCUCUGAGCCAUGCCUGGUAACUUGGUAACACUUAACCGUAUACAGUGAACAGUUUUCUAUUGACUAAAACAUAAACAUCUGAAGCCACCUGGCUGAAGUCUAUUUUGCAAGACUGAGAACAGCAGUCAUUUUAUGACUCUUUAUCCUGAUAGAAUUCUCUGUUCUUUAUAUUUUGUUCUCUGUGUGUCAUCCUCAAAAGAUUGAACAGGGUUGUUUUGUGACUGGCAUGUAAAGAAGAGAACUUGGAAACAAUGCACUGUACAGCUUCCAGUAUGGACUGCACAGAAGCCUUGAAAGAGAACCAAGGCUUUGCUUCCUAGCUACAAAUGUGAAGCUGUAAAUCUGGACUUGGUUCACAGAAAUCAGAGUUAAGUUUCUUUCAAUAAAAGAAAGAUUUUUUUGCA